rnacentral:lncRNA from 1 species
CAUUGGCCCCUUCCAAGUAAAUUAUUCUAUUUUAUUCCAAAUCACAUGAUACUCACUCCUUUUCCAUCUUAGACAUACAUGAAACCACAAUCCAGGAGAACCACUAAAGUAAACAGUAAAACAGAAAUAUCCUCAAAACGCCACUGGAAAUAACUUUGCAUAUGUUGCUUUGUGCUUUAGCAGUUAGCACUGAACGUUAGGUUUGGUGAAAGACUUUCCAAGUCAGUGUUAACUUAAAAGUGAAUCACUUCAACAAAACAAUCAAACAAACAAGCCCCAAACCAAAACAAAAACUUCCUACAAUGCAAACUCACCUCUAGGCUAGCAAACAAGCGUUUGCAGUAGGUAUUUGAAAUGCACAACUUGCAGAAACACGUUUUCCAAAAUGGAUAUUGUGUGUCCAACGACUGGGACUAAGCAGAAAAUACAACUACCCGAGCUCCAGCCUCAUAUUUUCUACAGUUACUGCUGUAAGUUGCCAGUUUACCUCAGCAGAGCACAGGCAUGGACGAACACUUCCUGCUAAAAAUGAAACAGUUGUUUCCCAUCAAAGCACAAAAAGCAAAGCAUCAGAGGAGAAUCAACCAGCAGUUAUUUACCAGCAGUUUGUUAUCUAUUUCAGUGCUCACAACCGUGUUCUUUUAGCGCGAUAAACAGGGUAGCCUGCUGUUAACAAAUACUGCCUGAAGCAAAAUACUAAACAAUCUGAAAGAACCUUUUAUUCCUAUUUUACAUAUUUAUUUCCAAACAGUUCCUAACAGCACCAGUUAGUGUAUUAAGGUGCCCAGUCCUUACUGGCUGCACAAAUCAGUUCUUCAUGCUGACGCCAGCAGCAUUGCCAUGGUUACAUGAUUAGAGUGACUUAACCUGGCAGGUGGCUUAGCCAAAUGCCGAGUGCCAAAGCAAUCCUAGCAUGCAAUCUAUACUUUUACAU